UGGGGAAUAUUGGACAAUGGGCGCAAGCCUGAUCCAGCCAUGCCGCGUGAGUGAUGAAGGCCCUAGGGUUGUAAAGCUCUUUCACCGGUGAAGAUAAUGACGGUAACCGGAGAAGAAGCCCCGGCUAACUUCGUGCCAGCAGCCGCGGUAAUACGAAGGGGGCUAGCGUUGUUCGGAUUUACUGGGCGUAAAGCGCACGUAGGCGGACUUUUAAGUCAGGGGUGAAAUCCCGGGGCUCAACCCCGGAACUGCCUUUGAUACUGGAAGUCUUGAGUAUGGUAGAGGUGGGUGGAAUUCCGAGUGUAGAGGUGAAAUUCGUAGAUAUUCGGAGGAACACCAGUGGCGAAGGCGGCUCACUGGACCAUUACUGACGCUGAGGUGCGAAAGCGUGGUGAGCAAACAGG
rnacentral:rRNA from 1 species